rnacentral:rRNA from 1 species
GACGAACGCUGGCGGCGUGCUUAACACAUGCAAGUCGAACGGAAAGGCCCUGCUUUUGUGGGGUGCUCGAGUGGCGAACGGGGGAGUAACACGUGAGUAACCCGCUCCUGACUGUGGGAUAACUUCAGGAAACUGGGGCUAAUACCGGAGAGGACCUCUUGCUGCAGGUGGUGGGAUGGAAAGUUUCGGCGGUGUGGUAUGGACUCGCGGCUUACCAGUUUGUUGGUGGGGUAUUGGCUUACCAAGGGUUUGAGGGCUGGCCUGCCUGAGAGGGUGACCGGCCACAUGGGGACUGAGGUAGGCCCCAGACUCCUACGGGAGGCAGCGGUGGGGAAUAUUGCACAAGGGGCCGAAGCGUGAGGCAGCAACGCCGCGUGCGGGAUGACGGCUUUCGGGUUGUAAACCGCUUUCGCCUGUGACGAAGCGUGAGUGACGGUACUGGGUAAAGAAGCACCGGCUAACUACGUG